UACAGAGGUCCCAAGCGUUGUUCGGAUUCAUUGGGCGUAAAGGGUGCGUAGGUGGCGCCGUAAGUCAGGUGUGAAAUCUCGGGGCUUAACUCCGAAACUGCAUUUGAUACUGCGGUGCUUGAGGACUGGAGAGGAGACUGGAAUUUACGGUGUAGCAGUGAAAUGCGUAGAUAUCGUAAGGAAGGCCAGUGGCGAAGGCGAGUCUCUGGACAGUUACUGACGCUGAGGCACGAAGGCCAGGGGAGCAAACGGG
rnacentral:rRNA from 1 species